GUAAAUUCUUGAUUAAUUUAAAGAGUUAAAAAACUAAAAGUCAAACAAAAACUGACAAGUAGAGCUCAGAAUGCUCUUCCAAAGAGUGCCAUGUGCGUGGCAUCAUCACCAGAAUAAAAACACUUUUGUCCCUUCCAAAUUUCAGCUCCAUUUUCCUCGAGUGGAUAACAUCGUAUAGUAGCUUUGCAUUCUUCUUUAAUUUU
rnacentral:rRNA from 12 species